AGAUCUUAUUUGAAGCAUACCAGUUCAGAAACAAUAGCCUGGUCGCCUUGGAUAACAUUGUCCUAACCAAUGCAAGCUGUACCCCGUUGAAUUCACAGACAGACAUCAAUCAACCACCCACACCACUACCUAUGCUGUUAAGUCUCCCGAUGGAGAAAGUCACGAACCUGCCGAGAUUAAAUCCACCGACUGGGGAAAUCACGGAGCUGCCGAGAUUAAGUCCACCGACUGAAGAAAGUACAGAGCUGCCGAUAAUUAGUCCUCCGACUGGUCUGUCGACCUUUUUCCAGGACAAAAGAGGCCAACCCGAAUCGGGAUUAUUUGGGUGAUUAGAUCUGAGUGGUACAGAAGUGGAGGUGUUAGCCGGAAAUUGAUGACUGAAGUAGUACGCUAUUUAGUUGGGACGAACUUCACGAUGUACAUUUCUUGUCGUUUAUUUGUAACCCUAACGUUGCAAUUCUUUUAAACCCUUUUUUUUUUUUUUUUUUUUUUUACAUAUACUGUGUAUAUUUUUGAUGUUUUCUUACGGAUUCGUAGUUUUACAGGAAUAUGAUAUGUAGCGAUGUUUAAACUGUUUUACCAAUAUUAUGUUGCAUGUGUAUAAAAAUGAAAAAAAAAUGGUUUAGGGAGAAUAAAUAGGUAGGGCGAAAAAUGAAAACGACGAUCAGUGAUCAAUCUCAUAAAUACAAAAAAGGAUAUAAAAUUGAGAGUAGGGCAAACGCGGAUCUCUGGAUACAGUGGGGUCAAAUAAAAACGGAAUAUUUCUUUUAGAAUAGGAGAAAGACCUCACCAAUUGACGUGAAUAAUGAUUAUUGAAAUUUAAACGAAAAUCUACAGUAAUUAACACGAAGUUUCGAUAAUAUAAAUAAGGUGAAACUUAGAGAGUUUAAAAAGGUGAGGUUAAGAUAACUAAACGAAGGUGAGGUUAAGAUAACUAAACGAAGGUGAGAUUAAGAUAACUAAACGAAGGUGAGGUUAAGAUAACUAAACGAAGGUGAGGUUAAGAUAACUAAACGAAGGUGAGGUUAAGAUAACUAAACGAAGGUGAGGUUAAGAUAGUAUGAAUAAUGUGAAGAUUACAAAUUAUAAAGUAUUAUAAAGAAGGUGAUAUUUAGUUAGAGAUUUAAAGAGUAUAAUGGAGGACUGAGGAUCGAAUUGGGAUAGCAUAUACAUGUCUUGUGCAUCGAAAUAUUGAAAAUGUCCGCUGACAUGAUAAACUGUUCUUUUUGUAAGGAUUUUGACUACGUUCACCAAUUAAGAUGGAUUGAUCACGGCGGAUGUGACCGGUCAAAAGGGGAUGCUUACUUGUUGAAUAUUUACUGGGGUCCGUAUUUGUCCUGUUCUCGAUUUUGAAUUCUUCAUAAAGGUAUGAGAUUGACCACUGAGCAUUAUAAGCACCUUUUGUGUAUGUCUCUGUAUAUCAAUGUAUGAUAUAGUUGUAUUUCUUUACGAUGUUAUCAUGAAAAGCAUGUAGCAUAAUCGCCUCUAAAAGUUUAUUGUAUGGGACUUAUUAGAUUCUAGGUGUGCCCAAAUUUUCAUUAUGGUGUUUUACUUUUGAUAACUUUUAAUAAUUUCAUAGGAAGGGAUAAU